rnacentral:rRNA from 1 species
GUGGGGAAUAUUGGUCAAUGGGGGAAACCCUGAACCAGCAACGCCGCGUGAAGGAAGAAGGCUUUCGGGUUGUAAACUUCUUUGACAGGGGACGAAAGCAAUGACGGUACCCUGAAAACAAGCCACGGCUAACUACGUGCCAGCAGCCGCGGUAAUACGUAGGUGGCGAGCGUUGUCCGGAUUUACUGGGUGUAAAGGGCGUGUAGGCGGGGCGGUAAGUCAGAUGUGAAAUGUAGGGGCUCAACCACUGAAUUGCAUUUGAAACUAUCGUUCUUGAGUGAUGGAGAGGCAGGCGGAAUUCCGUGUGUAGCGGUGAAAUGCGUAGAUAUACGGAGGAACACCAGUGGCGAAGGCGGCCUGCUGGACAUUAACUGACGCUGAGGCGCGAAAGCGUGGGGAGCAAACAGGAUUAGAAACCCGGGUAGUCC